UACGGAGGGGCUAGCGUUGUUCGGAAUUACUGGGCGUAAAGCGCACGUAGGCGGCUUUGUAAGUUAGAGGUGAAAGCCCGGGGCUCAACUCCGGAAUUGCCUUUAAGACUGCAUCGCUAGAAUUGUGGAGAGGUAAGUGGAAUUCCGAGUGUAGAGGUGAAAUUCGUAGAUAUUCGGAAGAACACCAGUGGCGAAGGCGGGUCUCUGGGCCGUAACUGACGCUGAGGAGCGAAAGCGUGGGGAGCGAACAGGA
rnacentral:rRNA from 1 species